UGGGGAAUCUUCCGCAAUGGACGAAAGUCUGACGGAGCAACGCCGCGUGAGUGAAGAAGGUUUUCGGAUCGUAAAACUCUGUCUUUUGGGGCGAACGUGAGUAUGGUGAACAAUCAUAGUCAGUGACGGUACCAAAGGAGGAAGCCACGGCUAACUACGUGCCAGCAGCCGCGGUAAUACGUAGGUGGCAAGCGUUGUCCGGAAUUAUUGGGCGUAAAGAGCGCGUAGGCGGGAUAGUCAGUCUGUUGUAAAAGUGCGGGGCUCAACCCCGUGAUCGCAAUGGAAACAGCUAUUCUUGAGUGCAGGAGAGGAAAGUGGAAUUCCCAGUGUAGCGGUGAAAUGCGUAGAUAUUGGGAGGAACACCAGUGGCGAAGGCGACUUUCUGGACUGUGUCUGACGCUGAGGCGCGAAAGCCAGGGGAGCGAACGGGAUUAGAUACCCCGGUAGUCCUGGCCGUAAACGAUGGGUACUAGGUGUGGGAGGUAUCGACCCCUUCCGUGCCGGAGUUAACGCAAUAAGUACCCCGCCUGGGGAGUACGGUCGCAAGACUGAAACUCAAAUGAAUUGACGGGGUCAUAGCUGUUUCCU
rnacentral:rRNA from 1 species